UACAGAGGGUGCGAGCGUUGUCCGGAAUCACUGGGCGUAAAGGGCGCGUAGGUGGUGGCUUAAGCGUGCGGUGAAAGCUCGGGGCUCAACCCCGAGUCGGCCGUGCGAACUGGGCUCACUGGAGCAUAGUAGAGGCAGGUGGAAUUCCGGGUGUAGCGGUGGAAUGCGUAGAGAUCCGGAAGAACACCGGUGGCGAAGGCGACUACCUGGACCAGCACUGACACUGAGGCACGAAAGCGUGGGGAGCAAACAGG
rnacentral:rRNA from 1 species